GACGUAGGGGGCCAGCGUUGCUCGGAAUUACUGGGCGUAAAGGGUUCGUAGGCGGUGAGGCAAGUCGGGUGUGAAAUCUCUGGGCUUAACUCAGAGGCUGCUUCCGAAACUGCCGUGCUAGAGUGCGGGAGAGGCGAGUGGAAUUGCUGGUUGAGCGGUGAAAUGCGUAGAUAUCAGGAGGAACACCGGUGGCGAAGGCGGUUCUCUGGGCAGUACCUGACGCUGAGGAGCGAAAGUGUGGGGAGCGAACAGG
rnacentral:rRNA from 1 species